rnacentral:lncRNA from 1 species
UUACUGUUUGGGUUAGGGUUAGAGAUAUGUUUAGGGUUAUUAUUAGUUUUAGGGUUAGUGUUAGUGUCAGGGUUAGUGUUAGUGUUAGGGUUAGGGUUAGCGUUAGGGUUAGGGUAAAGUUAGUGUUAGAUUUGAGUUGUGGUUAGGAUUAGGGUUAGUGUUACGGUUAGGGUUAGAUUUAGGUUUAGUGUUAUUGUAAGGGUUAGGGUUAGGGUUCGGGUUAGUGAUUGGGUUAGGGUUAAGGUUCGGUUAGGGUUUGUGUUAGGGUAAGGGUUAGGGAUAGGAUUUGUGUUAGGGUUACGAUUGGAUUAUGGCUACAGUUAGGGAUAGAGUUAUUAGGAUUAGGUUAAUGUCAGGGUUAAGGGUAGGGUUAGGGUAAGUGUUAGGGUUAGGGUUACAAUUAGGUUUAAUGUUCCUGUUAGGGUUAAAAGUAGUUUUAGUGUUAAAGUUAGUGUUAGUGUUAUGUUUAGAGUUAGGGUAAGAUUAGGGUUAGUGAUAGGGUAAGGGUUAGGUUUAGGUUUAGUAUUAGGUAAGAGUUAAGGUUACUCUUAGGGUACAGGUUAUGGUAGGUUUAGGAUUAGCUUUAGAAUUUGGGUGAGCAUCAGGUUUAGGGAUCAGGUUACGGUUAGGCUUAGGGUUAGUUUUAGAAUUAGGGUGAGGAUCACGGUUAGCGAUCAUGAUAGGGUUAGGUUAAGGUUUAGUUUUAAAAUUAGGGUGAGGAUCAGGGUUAGUGAUCAGGUUACGGUAAGAGUUAGUUUAAGAGUUAGGAUUAGGAUUAAGUUUAGGGUUAGUGUUAGGGUUAAUGUUAGGGUUAGAGUUAUGGAUCAUGUUCGGUUGAGGGUUAGGGUUAGGGUUACGGUUGGAUUAGGGUUAGAGUUAGGGUUAGGGUUAAUGUUAAAGUUAGGGUUAUUAUUAGGUUUAGGGUUAGGGUUACAGUUAGGGUGAGUGAUAGGGUUAGGGUUAGGUUUAGUUUUAGUAUUAGGUAAGAGUUAGGGUUAUUGUUAGGUUACAGAUUAGGGUUAGGUUUAGGUUUAGUUUUAGAAUUAGGGUGAGGAUCAAGGUUAGGGAUCGGGUUAGGGUUAGGGUUAGUUUAAGAGUUAGGAUUAGGGUUAGGGUUAGGGCUAGGGUUAGUGUUACGGUUAGGGUUAUGGCUUAUGUUAUGUUAGGGUUAGGUUUAGGGUUUGGGUUAGGUUAGGAUUAGGAUUAGUGAUAAGUUUAGGAUUAGUUAUAGGUUUAGGAUAUGUUAUAGGUUUGGGGUUAGUUUUAGGGUUAGGGUUGGGGUUAGUGUUACGGUUAGAGUUAGGGUUAGGGUUAGGAAUAGGGUUAGGAUUAUUGUUAGUGAUAGGGUUAGGGUUAGGGUUAGUUUAGGGUUAAAUAUAGGGUUAGGCUAAGUGUUAGGAUUAGGGUUAGGGUAGGUAUUAGGUUUAGUUUUAGUGUUAGGGUUAGUGUUAGGAUUAGGUUUAGGGUUAAUUAUGGGGUUAGGGUUCGUGUAAGUUUUAUUGUUCAUUUUAGGGUUUGGGUUAGGGUGUGGGAUAGGAUUAGGGUUAUGUUUAGGGUUAGGGUUAGUGUUAGAUUUAGGUUUAGGGUUAAGGAUAGUGUUAGUGUUACAUUUAGAGUUAGGUUUAGGGUUAGUGUUAGGGUGAGAAUUAGGGUUAGGUUUAGGGUUAAGGUUAGUGUUAGGGUUUGGGUUCGUGUUGUGAUUAUCGUUAGGGUUAAUGUUAGUGUUAGGUUUAGGCUUAGGGUUAGGGUUAGUUUUAUGUUUAAGUUUAGUAUUGGUUUAGGGUUAGUGUUAGGGAUAGGGUUAGGUUUAGGGUAGUGUUACAGUUAGGUUUAGGGUUAAGGUUAAGGUUAGUGUUAGGUUUUGGAUUAGGGUUAGGAUUAGUGUAGGGUAAGGGUUAGGGUUAGGGUUAUGUAAGAGUUAGGGUUUAGGUUAGGUUAGGGUUAGGGUUGUGGUUUGAGUUAUGAUUAGUUUAAAGGCUAUGGUUAGGGUUAGGGUUUGUGUUAGGUUUAGGGUUAGUUUGGUGGUUUGUGUUAGGGUUACUGUUAUGGUAAGUGUUAGGGAUAGGUUUAGUGUUAUGUUUAGGUGUAAGUUUAGGUUUAGGGUUAGGGUUAGGUUUAUGAUUAAUAUUUUGCUUAGGUUUAGAGUUAGGUUUAGGGUUUGUGUUAGGGUUAGGUUUAGAGAUAGUGUUAGGGAUAGGAUUAGGGUUAGAGUGAGGUGUCAGGUUAGGGUUAGUGUUAGGAUUAGGAUUAGUGUUAGGGUUAUGGUUAGGAUUAGAGUUAGAUUUAGAGUUAUGGUUAGGGCUAGUGUUAGGUUUAGAGUUAGGAUUAGUGUUAGUGUUUCGGUUAUGGUUAGGUAUAUGUUUAGGGUUAGUGUUAGGGUUAGGGUUAAUUUUACAUUUAGGGUUAGGAUAAGGGUAAGGAUUAAGGUUAGUGUUAUUGAAAGAUUUAGGAUUAGUUAUAGGUUUGGGGUUAUUGUUAGGGUUAGGGUUAGGGUUAUGUUUACAGUUAAAGUUAGGGUUAGUGUUGGGAUAGUGUUAGGUUUAAAGUUAGUGUUACAAUAAGGGUUAGAGUUAUUGUUAGGGGCAGUGUUAGGGUUUCAUUUAGGGUUAGAGUUUGGUUUAGGUUUAGGGUUAAAGUUGGUGUUAGGGUUUGGAUUAGGGUUAGUUUUUUAGUUAUGGUUAGGGUUAGUGUCAGAAUUAUGGUUAGGGUUAGGAUUAGGAAUAAUGUUAGGGUGAGUGUUAGGGGAAGGUUUAAGGUUUGUUUUAGGGUUAGCAUUAGGGUUAGGAUUUGUUUUAUGGUUAGUUUUAGGAUUAUGGUUGGAUUAUGGUUAGAGUUAGGGUUAGGGUUAGGGUUAGUGUCAGGUUUAAGCAUAGGGUU